rnacentral:rRNA from 1 species
UUGUGGUUAAAAAGCUCGUAGUUGGAUCUCAACAGCCUUGAAGCGGUUAACUUUGUAGUUUUACUGCUUUAUAGGCUGUGCUUUUGCUGGAGGUUUAGGGGUGCUCUUGAUCGAGUGUCUCUGGAUGCCAGCAGGUUUACUUUGAAAAAAUUAGAGUGCUCAAAGCAGGCUAAAAUGCCUGAAUAUUCGUGCAUGGAAUAAUAGAAUAGGAUGUCGAUCCUAUUUUGUUGGUUUUCGGGACUCGACAUAAUGAUAAAUAGGGACAGUCGGGG